rnacentral:rRNA from 1 species
ACUCCUACGGGAGGCAGCAGUGGGGAAUAUUGCACAAUGGGGAAACCCUGAUGCAGCCAUGCCGCGUGUGUGAAGAAGGCCUUCGGUUGUAAAGCACUUCAGUAGGGAGGAAGGUAGUGUAGUUAACACCUGCAUUAUUUGACGUUACCUACAGAAGAAGCACCGGCUAACUCCGUGCCAGCAGCCGCGGUAAUACGGAGGGGUGCGAGCGUUAAUCGGAAUUACUGGGCGUAAAGCGCAUGCAGGCGGCCUGUUAAGUCAGAUGUGAAAGCCCGGGGGCUUAACCUCGGAAUUGCAUUUGAAACUGGCAGGCUAGAGUCUUGUAGAGGGGGUAGAAUUUCAGGUGUAGCGGUGAAAUGCGUAGAGAUCUGAAGGAAUACCAGUGGCGAAGGCGGCCCCCUGGACAAAGACUGACGCUCAGAUGCGAAAGCGUGGGGAGCGAAACAGGAUUAGAUACCCUGGUAGACUGUCA